CUCAGCCUCCCGAGUAGCUGAGACUACAGGCACCUGCCACCAAGCUCAGCUAAUUUUUUGUAUUUUUAGUAGAGACAGGGUUUCACCAUGUUAGCCAGGAUGGUCUCGAUCUCCUGACCUCAUGAUCCACCCACCUCGGCCUCCCAAAGUGCUGGGAUUACAGGCAUGAGCCACCGUGCCCAGUCUUUUUUUUUUUUUUUUUUUUUUAAGACGGAGUCUUGCUCCGUUGCCCAGGCUGGAUGCAGUGGCACGAUCUCGGCUCACUGCAACCUCCACCUCCUGGGUUCAAGCAAUUCUCCUGCCUCAGCCUCCCGAGUAGCUUGGAUUACAGGCUUCUAAUCCCAAUGCCCCCGCUUCCUAGCUAUGGGACCUUGAUUGAGUCCUGUACCGUGCCUCAGUUUCCCCACUUAUAAAAAGAGGUUACUAAAAAGGAUGCUUCACUCAAGGGUGUGAAGACCCAGUGAAUGAAGUGUUAAUAAGAGCUCCACGUAUCUGGCGCGCUGUCUCUGCGGGCCCUCUUCCCCGUCGAGGAGGCGCUGCUCAAGCCCCAUUUCACGGAGGAAGAAACCAAGACUCAGAGAGGGCCACCGGGGUCACAGUCUCUCCUGCACAGUUCUGCGGCUGCGCCAGCGCCGGCCCGCUCCCUCCACGUCCCCGGCCCCUGUCAGGGCUGCGGCAGCCGCAGAACCCCCGGGCCGGGCUCCCUAUGGCAGGGCCAGGGCGGAGGACUGGGAGACGGGGCGGGAAGGCGAGGCGGGGCCCGGCGUAUCC
rnacentral:lncRNA from 1 species